rnacentral:lncRNA from 1 species
ACAUCACCACUUCAUAUUAAGUGGGCGGAUCCAGGUUAGUAGGUAGAAUUGUGGAAGUUUAAACUUUUGCAUCUUUUGUUCAACAUGAAACUUUUACUGCUCUUGAUUGUAACUUUGACAUCUUACAUUCUUACCUUCGUUUUUUAAAGGCUUCCAGGUUCCAGCAGAUAUUCACUGUCAAGAGAGCUGAAAAGUCUAAUUAGGCCUAAUGUGGAAACAAGUGGGAUACUGGACACUGGUAAUCCUCAAUCUUGUCUAUAGUUGGCACAUCAUGUUGGUAUCCACGUUGAGAUCUUGACCUGCCACUAUAGCCAAAAGGGCAAUCUUUCUACUCGUAGUAUCAGAUAAGACUGGAAGCUUUGCAUGCACUAAUAUAUUAUUCAUCGUUAUCUGAACUCGAUCUUGAAAGCUCAACAAAAGCAGGUGAUUUCCUGGAUAUGCAUCACUGAUUGGAUUAGCUUUGCAUGUUACUCCUAUUUGUUAAAGCAAUUUCAAUAGUAUAGCCAACUGCUAGCUCUAAUUCAUAUACAGUCAAUCUAAUAACCAAUUCAUAUAAUAGUUAGCUACUAAACAUCAAUACAUGGCGCCACAUGUCAUACAUAUAUUUUGUCUUGGAGUCCAUGUGCAGCUGGCUACAAAUUAGUAGCUCACAUCUAUUCUCUCUCAUCUCUUAUCUUUUUAAAAUAUGUUUAUAGCUGGCUAAUAGCCUGCUAUUGAACUUGCUCUUAUCCUACUUGUUUAUUAGGAGGGAUAGCUGGAGAUUUAGGAGUAACAUUAGCACGUUUUUUAGACGAAGUCAUAUGAUCCUACAUGUGGAUUUUUCAUAUUUUUUAAUUGGAAGUCUACUAAAACCAGGAUUCUAGGCUUUUACAGUAAUUAUAAAAUAGUACUAGUUGCGAGCAUUUCAACAGCUAAUCUAAAUUUGGUCAUCUAUAUUUUUAUUUAGAUAUCUAAAAUAGGUUCAUCUUUAAUAUCUCUUUAUACUUUAGCAGAUCAUCCAUAUAUGACAUCCUCUAUAUUUCUUUAGAGAAUGGAGAGAGAACAUCUAAAUAUAGAGUUUUUCUCUUCUAAUAUGAUAACAUCUAAAAUUAGAGGAUGAGAUAGAUAUUCUGUUGGAGCUCAUUUUUUAUCUCUCAUCCUCUAUUUUCAGGAUGUAGGAUGAGAUGUAGGAUGAGAUAGAUGAACUAUUAGGGAUGCUCUAACAAUCAGACAUUGCUUGCAGUAUUAGAUGCUAGAGAGAAAACAGAAUAAAUGUUAAUGGCAUCUAUCACUGUCACAUUCUUGAUUAGCGACGGUCGUUAUUUGUUUCCUGUACGUAAUGUCGUUAAUAAUAUCCUUUCGUUUUAGCCUUAAAUUCUAAGCUUUGUGGGCCAGCUGCAGCCACAAUCUAACUGCUGAGUGCGUCUCUAUUUAUUCUCCAUUUGCUCCUCUUCGUUGUUGGCCAUGUCAGAAGUAUUGGAAGGAUAAUCUUUUUUAAAGUGUACAUGUCAACUUAAAUUUGCUGAACAAGCAAUGCAUGAAGCAGCGGAUAUAGUGCGGUGUCUAAAGGAUUAGAUAGGAACAGCGUUGGAUCUUACACUUAUUAAGCUAGUUCAGAAUGCAUAUGCUCGUUCUAAUCUGAAUAUUUUCUUAGUUUUCAUAAUCUUUGCAAAAAAGCAGAAAGAUGAUAUCUUUUUUAUCAAGAUGUGAUAGAUGGAUUAGGAUGUGAUUCGAAGUCACUUACAAUACAAAAGGUUACCUCGAGCUUUAGUUUUGUUGCUUUCCUCAAAAGUAAUUUCAUUUGUUGAUAAAGUAACCACAGGCAAUGAUUCAGAAAUCAAAUGAGUGAAGUAAUACAACUUGAUUUAUGGAUCAUUGAAAUUAUGUUUUGAGUAUGAUAGAUAGGUUUUAGGGACAACUUGGAAAGAUGAUGGCCUAAUGACUUACUCGUAGAUAUCAACAGCGUCAUCUCCAGACACCACGGGGUAGGGUCUUAGUGUAAUGUGCUUGUGACAAACAUUCCUUGAGCUACAGCCAACAGAUGCUAGUAUAUCCCUGCAAUGACUGCUCCUUUAUAGAUCUUCUUGCUAUUCCGUAGCUAUUGACCAGUAAUUAAAAGUACUUUAUCAUUUGCCUAAACAGUAACCACACGUUUAGUCCUGCGUCUUGUAAGCAGGAUUAGUAACUGUUGAUGGCCUGACCAACCAAUGCUAACGUGACAAUUAUCAGGAGUUUGUCAGGUCUCUCUGAUGGAAUCAGGUGCUCUCAGAAUGGAGGAUGGAGGGUUAAACAUUUGCCACUUGCAAACAUGAUGCAUGAUUGGUAUUUUACCGCCGCCUGAUCAAUUCAUCAGUAUUUUACCGCCGCCAUGAUUCUCGCUGAAGAUAUGAUUUAAUAUUUUUAGACAAAGCAAACUUUACUAAUCAUAGAUAAUUAUAUCAAGGUGAUAUAAUUAGUUUAAGAUCACUCGGGGUAUCUGUGUAGCUAGAACAUGGGGCAUCAAUUACUGCAACUCAGCCCCCAGUUAGUUCCUUCACUUUCACUAGUCUAGACUGUAGUUGUUUUUCCUUCACAGCAGGACAUGAUUUUUUUUAUAUUGAGAAAGCUUUAAAUUGGCAGUAUUAUAUAGGGAAAAUGUUUUCAUCACUCGCUUAGAUAUCACUUAUUUCUUGCAUAUCAUCAAAAUAAUCAUAAAAUUAAAAAAAGAUAAAAUAAAUUAAUAUGAGACAUAUCACUCCACAAACAUGCAAAUUCAAAUUCGAUUUCUACAAGUUAUAAAAAAAUAAUUUUAAAUAUGCACAUACUAAUUUCAGUUUAAAUUUUUUUCGUUUUAACUUGUAGAUGUCAAAAUUGAACUUACAUGUUUUUGGAGUGAUAUAUCUUAAAUUAAUUCAUCUUGUAAUUUUUUUUAUUAUUUAAGUGACAUGCAAGAAAUGAGUAAAUAUCCAACUGAGUGAUAAAAAUCCAUCUCUGCAUUACAUGGCAUGUUUAGCCCUCAGUGCCUCAGAAUCCUGGUUUUUCAUAAUUCAGGUUCAUGGAAUGGACAACAGGAAUUGCAGUGAUGUCUCAUCUUGAAGACUCAAAGACCAUGUCCAUCUGCUCUGUUUCCUGGACCAGACUGACUAUGUUUGACCCCAAAUAUUCCACUUGGCCAUGAAUCUAAGCCAAACAAAGGUCAAAGAUACAUCCUCCCCCAGACUGCCAAGAUGGCCUUUUUUUUCCUCUCUCUGUCUCUCUGCAAAAAGAGAUGCAACUACACUCAAAUAAUUCAGUGUCCUCUCCUUUUCUAAUCCUCUUGUUGCAUGUGUGCUAUGCCUCUUUAGCCCUUACUUUACACCAGUAUCAAUAUCAUCAGGCAGACAGGAUCUGGUGCCACAACACUAGCUAGUGCCCCUCUGAUGCCCAGAAAGCCACCACACUGUUAAUCAAUCAGGUAGAGAGAGAGAUUGAGAGCCUCAUCACCCUACUGAUAAAUAUGCUUGCUGUUGCUACUAGUAGUGAUUAGCAUUCUGACCUUUGCAUGCCCAAAAGCCCCUGCCCCCAUUGGCUCCCUGCUUACUCACUACUAGUAAUAAUUAUUACUAAUCUGUUUUUUUGCCUCCAUUGUUGCAGUUGAUUAGUGCCUAUAUAUACUUGCUCAGGUUCAGCUCAUCAAAGACUUACUAGUUACUACAGACUUGCACAAGUUAUAGUCUUUGUGUUCACAAGAACAACUGAACAGGAGGGUUACCAAAGCUGUGAUUUUGAUUAGGAAGGACCACAGAUUGGUUAGGGAUUAAGCACUGCAUAGAGGUUAAGUGGAAGGAAGAAGCAUGCAGGGUGGUAUUGAGAGUGAGAGCGUGAGGAGGUUGUUGAUGCAGAGAAUGCAGCAAGGGUACGUGUACUCGAGGAGGGCGCUGCUGCUGGCUCCGGCGUACGGCCACGGGGAGAGCUCCGGCGGG